AACGUAGGUGGCGAGCGUUAUCCGGAUUUACUGGGCGUAAAGCGUGUGCAGAUGGGUCAGCAAGUGGUGUAUGAAAUCGCUCGGCUCAACCGGGCGGGGUUAUGCCAGACUGCUGGUCUAGAGAACGGGAGAGGGACGUGGAAUUCCAGGUGUAGUGGUGAAAUGCGCAGAGAUCGGGAGGAACACCCGUAGCGAAGGCGGCGCUCUGGGCCGGUACUGACGCUGAGGAGCGAAAGCGUGGGGAGCGAACAGG
rnacentral:rRNA from 1 species